CUGGGGUCUCCUGGGAAUGGUUAAUAUUUGAAGCAUAUAAGGUUUAUUUUUGAGGCCUCUGUGUGUUUGUUCAGUGGCUAAUGAGUAGUACUGGCAGCAGGCGGGCAGGCAGGCGGGCAGCUAGCUUAGUGGUCGUAGUAAACGGGAGCUAUGUUACCUUCACUGCAUUUAGGAGCGCCCGGUGAGGAGAGCUGAUGUACGUAGUGGUGGACUAUUUUUGUCGGCUGUAUCGACUCAACCAUUCAGAGCCUGGCACUCAUGUACAUGACCCUGGGCCAAGACCAUGUUUGACAUACUCAGACACGACAGACUUCUUCCAGAUGAGGUUUAAGACUCCGACAUCAUCAAAUCUGCCGUACUGGCCCUGAACAAGGCAGUUAACCCACUGUUCCUAGGCCGUCAUUGUAAAUAAGAAUUUGUUCUUAACUGACUUGCCUAGUUAAAUAAAGGUCAAAUCUAAAAAAUCAUUGGAGGACAAGAGAGAAGGAGGAGACCAAGUACCGAUGACCUGUGUUGAGAGCCGGCUUUACCAACAUCAGCAAAUCAAUAUUUUUAUACCAGAGUCGUUCUUGAAUUACGGUGGCAUUUGGGUAUGGCGUAAUUAAAAACAACAUUCUUUCUAGAUUUGUAUUUAUUGAAAUGUAUUUACCAUUAGGAUAACAUUGUGCCACCAGUAGUCGUAACACCAAAUGAGAAUUUUGUUUAUUGAGGAUUUUCUGAAAUGGAGGCCACCGAUACUUAAAUCUAAGAUCAUUAACCCAUAAAAUAGUUGACUAAAGGGAUAUGAUUAGUAAUUGAGCUCAUAAUGUUGUUUCCCUUUUUAAACGGACGAACCCCAAGUGACACUGGAUUCAGACACACCACAUUAUCAAUGGAAUCCUCAAAUGUAUGACAUAUUCAAAAAUAGUGUGAUUAGCUAACAAUUUUCUUUAAUAAAGACAUAUCCCCCGAUGUUUUCCACUGGAGGGAAUGGUCGAGGGCCUUGUAUAUCUUUGUAAUGAGUGGUUUUUAAGGCGGUAACUCCAAGGAAAUAAAACUGAGGGACAGAUAUAGUAGUACAUUUAAAAAAAAAACAUGUAAUAGCCUUUGUUUUCAUUGAUCUAAACAACAUAUUAAAUAACUUUUUCAUCUUCUAACAUUCAAAAUCAUAUUUAGCUCUAAAUCCCCAAAAUGUCACUACAACUUCACACAUCACUACUGGGACAAGCCAAUGUGAUUACUUGCCCUAAGUACUUUAUACUGCAAAACGUUCUGUUAAUACAUUGUUGAAUGGACUUGCAUUACAGUAGCUAAGAGGUGGUGAAGUCUGUCUGAUAAGAUGCUGCUCUACCUUCUUCUGUCAACAAGGCAGGUCCUACAGGCCUAUGACUGUUCAGUCGUGUGGUCAGGUGCCACAAAAAAAUGACUUUUUGCAUUUGGUUCAGAAUAGGGCAGCGCGGCUGGCCCUUGGAUGUACACAGAGAGCUAAUAUUAAUAAUAUGCAUGUCAAUCUCUCCUGGUUCAAAAUGGAGGAGAGAUGGACUUCAUCACUACUUGUAUUUAUGAGAGGUAUUGACAUGUUGAAGGCACCAAGCUGUCUGUUUGAACUACUGGCACACAGCUCGGACACCCAGGCAUAUCCCACAAGACAUGCCACAAGAGGUCUCUUCUUCACAGUCCCCAAGUCCAGAACAGACUAUGGAAAGCGCACAGUACUAAAAGAGCCAUGACUACAUGGAACUCUAUUCCACAUCUCGUAACUCAUGCAAGCAGUAAAAUUAGAUACAAAAAUAUACUUUAAAAAAAUUGUCUUUUAAACACCUUGUCGAACAGCGGGGACUAUGAAUCAAUACAAACAUUGGAGCAUAAACACACGAUAGCAUACGCACUAUAUAGUCACGUGCACAUGGAUUUUGUACGGUAUAUAUGUGGUGGAGUAGGGAACCUGAGGGCACACAGUCUGAAUGUAAUGUUUUUAUAAUUGUAUGAACUACCUUCAUUUUGCUGCCUUGGCAGCAGCUAAUGGGGGUACAUAAUAAAUACAAAUUGUUUUAUUAUUGUCUAACUAUUUGUCAGUUUUUCAUGGUUGCAAAGGGACACAUGCCACCACAAUUCAAGAAUGAACCAUGUAUGAUUCUGUGGCUCUCUCACCCCUGUCUCCGAGGCACUUUGGUAUGCCAAGAUACCUGUUGUUGGAGUGUUCUCUCUCUGACCCUCCUCCAAAAUUGCAUUGAGUCUUGAUUCUUAUUCGUACCUUAAUGUGCCUUUCAUUGUUGUUACUAAUUGUGUUCAUAUUUAUUUAGUUAUGUUGCCGAUAAUGAUCCUUCCAGUUUUCAUCAGCUGGAUUCUCUCCUACUAUAGAACAUUAAAUGAACAUCCCUCCCUCCGUAGGAUCCAUUUAAAAAAAAUAUAUAUAUUUUUAAUUUUACCUUUAUUUAACCAGGCAAGUCAGUUAAGAACACAUUCUUAUUUUCAAUGACGGCCUGGGAACAGUGGGUUAACUGCCUGUUCAGGGGCAGAACGACAGAUUUGUACCUUGUCAGGUUGGGGGUUUGAACUCACAACCUUCAGGUUACUAGUCCAACGCUCUAACCACUAGGCUACCCUGCUGCCCCAGGGUAAUUCAGCAGGGUAAAUAGAUGGGUAUGUGCAUACCGUAUGCCCUAUGAUACUGUAAUCAGGGUUUGUUUGGAGUCCCUUUCACUGACUCCCUGAGGUGCACAGCCAUGGUUAAUAUCAAAUCAAAUGUAUUUAUAAAGCCCUUCUUACAUCAGCUGAUAUCUCCAAGUGCUGUACAUAAACCCGGCCUAAAACCCAAAACAGCAAGCAAUGCAGGUAUAGAAGCACAUUAUGUAUGUCUAUGGUGCCUGCCCAGGGUUAAUAUGUAUGUCUAUGGUGCCUGCCCAGGGUUAAUAUGUAUGUCUAUGGUGCCUGCCCAUGGUAAAUAUGUAUGUCUAUGGUGCCUGCCCAGGGUUAAUAUGUAUGUCUAUGGUGCCUGCCGAGGGUUAAUAUGUAUGUCUAUGGUGCCUGCCCAGGGUUAAUAUGUAUGUCUAUGGUGCCUGCCCAGGGUUAAUAUGUAUGUCUAUGGUGCCUGCCCAGGUUUAAUAUGUAUGUCUAUGGUGCCUGCCCAGGGUAAAUAUGUAUGUCUAUGGUGCCUGCCCAGGGUUAAUAUGUAUGUCUAUGGUGCCUGCCCAGGUUUAAUAUGUAUGUCUAUGGUGCCUGCCCAGGGUAAAUAUGUAUGUCUAUGGUGCCUGCCCAGGGUUAAUAUGUAUGUCUAUGGUGCCUGCCCAGGGUUAAUAUGUAUGUCUAUGGUGCCUGCCCAGGGUUAAUAUGUAUGUCUAUGGUGCCUGCCCAGGGUUAAUAUGUAUGUCUAUGGUGCCUGCCCAGGGUUAAUAUGUAUGUCUAUGGUGCCUGCCCAGGGUUAAUAUGUAUGUCUAUGGUGCCUGCCCAGGGUUAAUAUGUAUGUCUAUGGUGCCUGCCCAGGGUUAAUAUGUAUGUCUAUGGUGCCUGCCCAGGGUUAAUAUGUAUGUCUAUGGUGCCUGCCCAGGGUUAAUAUGUAUGUCUAUGGUGCCUGCCCAGGGUUAAUAUGUAUGUCUAUGGUGCCUCCCCAGGGUUAAUAUGUAUGUCUAUGGUGCCUGCCAAGGGUUAAUAUGUAUGUCUAUGGUGCCUGCCCAGGGUUAAUAUGUAUGUCUAUGGUGCCUCCCCAGGGUUAAUAUAUAUGUCUAUGGUGCCUGCCCAGGGUUAAUAUAUAUGUCUAUGGUGCCUCCCCAGGGUUAAUAUAUAUGUCUAUGGUGCCUGCCCAGGGUUAAUAUGUAUGACUAUGGUGCCUGCCCAGGGUUAACAUGUAUGUCUAUGGUGCCUGCCCAUGGUGACGGGCCGUCAGCUACAGUAGCUGUACUACAUAGCCAACAGUGCCCUGCAGCAGCAUCAGAAUGUCUCAGAGGCUCAGCAAAGGCCUCCCUCCACCUACUGCCCAUGGAACUACCCUUUGAUGUUUUCAGAUCUGUAUGGCGGAAGCUUCACCUCUACACUGCUAAUAUCUAUCCAGACCCUUCAGAUCGGCAAACACAUGUCCAUAUUAGGGCCAAGGGGAAGGGGAAGGUAGAGAUUGAAAUGAGACCAGCUGUAGUCGUCAAAGUGCUGAAAGAAGAAACCUUGUAUGCCUUCAGUAUCCACACAGGGCUGCUUCAACAGCCACAGGGUGGCGCUAGCUAUUUGUCUAACAGUCCUCUGGUACUGUACUGUGUAGUUGUAUGUAAACAUGUUCAGAUAUACAGUGGUACGGUAUGAAACUGUAACCUAUAGUUAGUCAUAUGUAACUAGCCAUUUAUAAAGUUUCUCUGAUUUGUGAAAA